AGUAACCUGCCCUCCACUUCGGGAUAACCUCGGGAAAUCGUGGCUAAUACCGGAUAUGAGCACUCAUCGCAUGGUGGGUGUUGGAAAGAUUUAUCGGUGGGGGAUGGACUCGCGGCCUAUCAGUUUGUUGGUGAGGUGAUGGCUCACCAAGACGAUGACGGGUAGCCGGCCUGAGAGGGCGACCGGCCACACUGGGACUGAGACACGGCCCAGACUCCUACGGGAGGCAGCAGUGGGGAAUAUUGCACAAUGGGCGAAAGCCUGAUGCAGCGACGCCGCGUGGGGGAUGACGGCCUUCGGGUUGUAAACCCCUUUCAGUAGGGAAGAAGCGAGAGUGACGGUACCUGCAGAAGAAGCGCCGGCUAACUACGUGCCAGCAGCCGCGGUAAUACGUAGGGCGCAAGCGUUGUCCGGAAUUAUUGGGCGUAAAGAGCUUGUAGGUGGCUUGUCGCGUCUGCCGUGAAAACCCGAGGCUCAACCUCGGGCGUGCGGUGGGUACGGGCAGGCUAGAGUGUGGUAGGGGAGACUGGAACUCCUGGUGUAGCGGUGAAAUGCGCAGAUAUCAGGAAGAACACCGAUGGCGAAGGCAGGUCUCUGGGCCAUUACUGACACUGAGAAGCGAAAGCAUGGGUAGCGAACAGGAUUAGAUACCCUGGUAGUCCAUGCCGUAAACGUUGGGCACUAGGUGUGGGGGACAUUCCACGUUUUCCGCGCCGUAGCUAACGCAUUAAGUGCCCCGCCUGGGGAGUACGGCCGCAAGGCUAAAACUCAAAGGAAUUGACGGGGGCCCGCACAAGCGGCGGAGCAUGCUGAUUAAUUCGAUGCAACGCGAAGAACCUUACCAAGGCUUGACAUGCACUGGACGGCUGCAGAGAUGUGGCUUUCUUUGGACUGGUGCACAGGUGGUGCAUGGUUGUCGUCAGCUCGUGUCGUGAGAUGUUGGGUUAAGUCCCGCAACGAGCGCAACCCUCGUUCUAUGUUGCCAGCACGUGAUGGUGGGGACUCAUAGGAGACUGCCGGGGUCAACUCGGAGGAAGGUGGGGACGACGUCAAAUCAUCAUGCCCCUUAUGUCUUGGGCUUCAAGCAUGCUACAAUGGUCGGUACAAUGGGUUGCGAAACUGUGAGGUGGAGCGAAUCCCAAAAAGCCGGCCUCAGUUCGGAUUGGGGUCUGCAACUCGACCCCAUGAAGUCGGAGUCGCUAGUAAUCGCAGAUCAGCAACGCUGCGGUGAAUACGUUCCCGGGCCUU
rnacentral:rRNA from 1 species